rfam:Mus musculus chromosome 13, GRC primary reference assembly.
UGGUGCCCAACGUGUGGCUUGAGUACCAAGGCUACAGUGAAGAACACUGCAGUGUUUCUGUUCGGCCGAUUUUGUGUGGAAGAUGCCCUGCGUGGGAGCCUGCCGCCUCAACUAGAGAUCCUGGUGAGUCCUGGGUGGUCAUGACACCUAGUAACCUAGUAACCGUGAACAAGAGUGGAAGGUUUGAAAAAGACUUUAAAGGUACAAGGGAUAAAGGUUAAAAUGCACGACUUGCAUUUUUUGAUUUUGUAAAAGAGAUUUGUCCGU